CGAAAGCCUGACGGAGCAACGCCGCGUGUGGGAAGAAGGCUCUUGGGCUGUCAACCACUUUUCUCAGGGAAGAAGUCCUGACGGUACCUGAGGAAUCAGCCUCGGCUAACUCCGUGCCAGCAGCCGCGGUAAUACGGAGGAGGCAAGCGUUAUCCGGAAUUAUUGGGCGUAAAGCGUCCGCAGGUGGUCUGGCAAGUCUGCUGUCAAAGACCGGGGCUUAACUCCGGAAAGGCAGUGGAAACUGCGAGACUAGAGUGCGGUAGGGGUAGAGGGAAUUCCCGGUGUAGCGGUGAAAUGCGUAGAGAUCGGGAAGAACAUCGGUGGCGAAAGCGCUCUACUGGGCCGCAACUGACACUCAGGGACGAAAGCUAGGGGAGCG
rnacentral:rRNA from 1 species